rnacentral:rRNA from 1 species
UACGGGGGGGGCAAGCGUUGUUCGGAAUUACUGGGCGUAAAGGGCUCGUAGGUGGCCAACUAAGUCAGACGUGAAAUCCCUCGGCUUAACCGGGGAACUGCGUCUGAUACUGGAUGGCUUGAGUUCGGGAGAGGGAUGCGGAAUUCCAGGUGUAGCGGUGAAAUGCGUAGAUAUCUGGAGGAACACCGGUGGCGAAGGCGGCAUCCUGGACUGGUACUGACGCUCAGGAGCGAAAGCGUGGGGAGCGAUCCGG